rnacentral:snRNA from 1 species
AUCACUUCUUGGCCUUAUUGGCUAAGAUCAAGUGUAGUAUCUAUUCUGAUCAGUUUAAUAUCUGGAAGGAAAAGAAAGAAAUAAUUAAAUCUGGAAGGAAGGAAUAAGAAUCAAGAAAGAGUCCAGGAGCGUUGGCUCACGCCUG